UUUUCUUUUUGCUGUUGGAGAUAAAUGUUGGUGCUGCUUACUCUCUGGGCCUGCACUCCCUUUAUGAGCUGUAACACUCACCGCCAAGGUGUGUAGCUUCACUCCUCAAGUCAGUGAGACCAUAAGCCCACCGGGAGGAACCAACAACUGCGCUACGUGCCACCUUUAAGAGCUUAACACUCACUGCGAAGGUCUGCGGCCUCACCGGAAGGAAGGAAGAAACAACUCCCGACGCGCCACCUUUAAGAGCUUCUCACUGCGAAGGUCUCCGGCCUCACCUGAAGUCAAGCAAGACCACGAACCCGCCAGAAGGAAGAAACUCCGGACAUAUUUGAACAUCAGAAGGAACCAAUUCCGGACACACUGUUUGCAGGGAGGUGUAGACGCUGAUUACCUUUUCCAGUCAUUUUAAAAAUUCGGGAAGCAAUGAGGCUGCCCAAGAACACACCUGAGGAAAAGGACAGGCGCACAGCGGCCCUACAGGAGGGGCUGAGGCGGGCAGUCUCUGUGCCGCUGACGCUAGCGGAGACGGUGGCCUCGCUAUGGCCAGCGCUGCAGGAACUGGCCCGGUGUGGGAACCUGGCCUGCCGGUCAGACCUCCAGGUGGCGGCCAAAGCCCUGGAGACGGGCGUGUUCGGCGCAUAUUUCAACGUGCUCAUCAACCUGAGGGACAUCACAGACGAGGCAUUUAAGGACCAG
rnacentral:sRNA from 1 species